AACACUACGUCCGUUGCAUUCUUCUUUCUAAACCAUUCAUUCUUUCAUUUCACAAACAAAGCUCACAAAAAGUAGAGUAAAUAUUUGUUGUCGUCGUCGUAGAGCGAAGGAAGAGAUGUGUAUGGGGGCAGUGUAGGGGAAUGGUGAUAACGGAGAUUAAUCAGGAUUCGGAAGUUUGGAUUCUCCGUGGAGACCUAAGCUUAUUAAUCAUUACUCUUCUUUUCGUUAUCACAAUCUUAAAUCCAUUUCUUGUGGCCGCUGUGCUCGCACUCUCUUCUUAACUGGUACUUCUCUCCAAGUUUUGCUUCUUCUUCUUUUUUAGUAUGGUCUUACAGAUUAUUUAUUGUCCCUUGACAGAAAGCGGGAGUGUUUAUGCCACUGGCUGUAAUGAUUUUGGACAGCUUGGUGAACUUCUAUGUUCUUAGUUCUACCAAUGUCUAGCAUUUACCGGAACAAGUUGAAGGCCCUUUUUGGAGAUCUUCUGCUGACAAGGAAUCUUGUGGUUGGAACUUGGAAGCAUACAGCAGCGAUUUCAGGGAAUAUAUGUUUUAGUUUGAAAUUUAAAUGUAAAUCUAUUGUUUCAGAUAAAGAUUUCUGACUUUCUCAUCAUAAUGUUCCAUUCUGCUGACAAAUUGUACGGAUAUACACUUGCUACUAUUGUCUCAGAGAUGUUGAAAAAUUAAGACAUAGAAGAUGUGGUUAAGUUGUUAGACAUGGGAGCAGUGUAAAAUGUCUUCUAUAAGCUGCAUACCACGCUGGCCUUCAAAAACAUUUCCCUGUUUGAUAUAUCAUCUAUGUAAUAGUUAGAAAGCAAUUUUCUCUUGAGAAACCAGAAUUUAGCA